CUACGGGGUGCAGCAGUGGGGAAUAUUGCACAAUGGAGGAAACUCUGAUGCGGCAACGCCGCGUGGAGGAUGACACUUUUCGGAGCGUAAACUCCUUUUAUAUAGGAAGAAGAUGACGGUACUAUAUGAAUAAGCGCCGGCUAACUCCGUGCCAGCAGCCGCGGUAAUACGGAGGGCGCAAGCGUUACUCGGAAUCACUGGGCGUAAAGAGCGUGUAGGCGGAUUAAAAAGUCAGAGGUGAAAUCCUAUAGCUUAACUAUAGAACUGCUUCUGAAACUCUUAAUCUAGAAUAUGGGAGAGGUAGAUGGAAUUUCUGGUGUAGGGGUAAAAUCCGUAGAGAUCAGAAGGAAUACCGAUUGCGAAGGCGAUCUACUAGAACAUUAUUGACGCUGAGACGCGAAAGCGUGGGGAGCAAACAGGAUUAGAUACCCCAGUAGUC
rnacentral:rRNA from 1 species